UACGUAGGGUGCGAGCGUUGUCCGGAAUUACUGGGCGUAAAGAGCUCGUAGGUGGUUUGUCGCGUUGUUCGUGAAAACUCACAACUCAAUUGUGGGCGUGCGGGCGAUACGGGCAGACUGGAGUACUGCAGGGGAGACUGGAAUUCCGGGUGUAGUGGUGGAAUGCGUAGAGAUCCGGAGGAACACCAGCGGCGAAGGCGGGUCUCUGGGCCGAUACUGACGCUGAGGAGCGAAAGCGUGGGGAGCGAACAGG
rnacentral:rRNA from 1 species